rnacentral:tRNA from 1 species
UGGCCUCGCUGGUGCUGGGCGUCUGCCACUGGCUGUUUCCCGAACCGCCCGGCGUGCCGGCGCCGCCGCCAGCCCCGGUCCUGCCGCCGGCCGAGGCCAGCC